AUUGAACGCUGGCGGCAGGCCUAACACAUGCAAGUCGAACGAGUGGCGGACGGGUGAGUAAUGCUUGGGAAACCGCCUGCUGGAGGGGGAUAACUACGGGAAACGGUAGCUAAUACCGUAUACCACCAGUUGGCCCCAGAUGGGAUUAGCUAGUGGGUGGGGUAACGGCUCACCAAGGCGACGACCCCUAGCUGGUCUGAGAGGAUGACCGGCCAGACUGGAACUGAGAAACGGUCAAGACUCCGACGGGAGGCAGCGGUGGGGAAUAUUGAACAAUGGGCGCAAGCCUGAUGCAGCCAUGCCGCGUGUAUGAAGAAGGCCUUCGGGUUGUAAAGUACUUUCAGCGGGGAGGCGUUACCCGCAGAAGAAGCACCGGCUAACUCCGUGCCAGCAGCCGCGGUAAUUC
rnacentral:rRNA from 1 species